GGCUUUUCCCACGUUAACUACGCAUGAACACGCACGAUCGCCCCUCGCGAUUUUGACGUUGAAGAGAACUCCUUUCUGAAGUGUGACGUCAGUCCGUGAAUUUGACCACGUUGUGGGAAUAUGUCAACAUUAACUAUUUGAAACAAAUUGGUUGGCGAUAUUCUGAUUUUUGAGAAAGCAAGUCACUAGAAAAGAAAAAGCCCUGACUGGCAUCGAAAAGAGGCUGAAUGGAUAUCACAGGAGAAAGCAUCCGAGCGAGCGAAACAGCGCCCCUCUGUCUCUCUACGUGCAGGCCAUCUAUCUGAUGCUGUCUGGUCCAAACAAGGUGGAGGCCAAGAAGAGGAGGAUGUGGAGGUACCGUCUGCCUGGCUUUGAGUUGAGGCUCCUGGAGGAACUACAGAGACAGAAACACAACAGUCUCUACUGUGAUACCCUGUUACAGACUGAUGGUGAGGGAGGAGGGGAGUGAUGGAGAGACUGCAGUCUACUGUGAUAACCUGUUACAGACUGAUGGUGAGGGAGGAGGGGAAGACUGCAGUCUACUGUGAUAACCUGUUACAGACUGAUGGUGAGGGAGGAGGGGAGUGAUGGAGAGACUGCAGUCUACUGUGAUAACCUGUUACAGACUGAUGGUGAGGGAGGAGGGGAGUGAUGGAGAGACUACAGUCUACUGUGAUACCCUACUACAGACUGAGGGAGGAGAGAGAGGGGGGGAAUGGAAUCAAUCAGAGCAUAUGAGCAGAGAUGAGAGGUUGGAAAUCCUGCUCAUCUCUCAUGUUGCUCAGCGCUCCAUUGCUCCAUGUCCUUUCCUACUGCUCAUCUCUCAUGUUGCUCAGCGCUCCAUGUCCUUUCCUACUGCUCAUCUCUCAUGUUGCUCAGCGCUCCAUGUCCUUUCCUACUGCUCAUCUCUCAUGUUGCUCAGUGCUCCAUGUCCUUUCCUACUGCUCAUCUCUCAUGUUGCUCAGUGCUCCAUGUCCUUUCCUACUGCUCAUCUCUCAUGUUGCUCAGCGCUCCAGUGCUCCAUGUCCUUUCCUACUGCUCAUCUCUCAUGUUGCUCAGUGCUCCAUGUCCUUUCCUACUGCUCAUCUCUCAUGUUGCUCAGCGCUCCAGUGCUCCAUGU
ensembl:lncRNA